GACGAACCGUGCGAACGUUGUUCGGAAUCACUGGGCUUAAAGGGCGCGUAGGCGGGCCAUAAAGUCAGGGGUGAAAUCCUCCAGCUUAACUGGAGAACUGCCUUUGAUACUGAUGGUCUCGAGUAAGGUAGGGGCAUGCGGAACUGAUGGUGGAGCGGUGAAAAUGUGUUGAUAUCAUCAGGAACUCCGGUGGCGAAGGCGGCAUGCUGGACCUUCACUGACGCUGAGGCGCGAAAGCGUGGGUAGCAAACGGG
rnacentral:rRNA from 1 species